AUGGAGGGGCUCGACGUCGACGAAGUCUUCCACCACUACCGGCUGAGCCCUACGGAAGUGGAGGCCGUCACCUACUACCUGCCACGCCUCCUCUCCGGCGAGACGCUGCAGGCCGUCGACAAGCUCAUCCACCGCGUCCAAAUCUCCGGCUGCGAGCCCAAGGAUCUGGCCGCCCGAUACGCGCCCGUGCCGCAGGCCGUGAGCAGCGGCGACCGGUUCUUCUUCACCACGUGCAAGAGCAAGAACGGGAGCAAGCUCCAGAGCGUGCGCGGCGGCGGCGGCGGCACCUGGAGCAUCCAGAAGACCACGGAGAUUAGCCACGCGGGAGUCAAGGUCGGCGAGGUCAAGAACCUGUCCUUCAAGAAGAAGGGCAAGUCGACAGGCUGGGUCAUGGAGGAAUACCAGUGCCUGCUGCCGGAGGCCACCGUCUCCGACGGGGUGAAGGUGUUCUGCAAGAUGCACUUGGCUCAGCAUACCCCUGACGCGGCCCGCCAGGAAUCGGCCGCGUACAAGCUUCAGCAACAGCAACCAGAGGCCGCGACCCCGAGCACGCACGCGCAGAAGAGGCCAGCGACCGCUGCCGCCGCCGAUCCUCAUCCGCCGCGCCCCAAGAAGAGGACGUGCGUUGCCGUCCCCGUCCCGGUCCCGGCAUCUGCCACACCGUCGUUCUUGAUGUAUGAUGAGGCAGCCAGAGCAAUGCAUGGCCCGCUGCCUCACACCAACUUCCCUGUUCAGUAUGCACAAGCAUCAUGCGAGUCCACUACAACAUCCAGCCGCUCCGACGUUGCUCAAGCUCCUGAGAUUUCCUCCCAGUCACAUGUGAUGGAGUGCACCCAAUCACAAGAGGCUGGCUCGAGCAUUGCAAGGAGCACAUCUGAAGAGGAUGUCUUUGAGCCAUUGGGGCCUAUUUCCGAUUUGCCGGAUUGUGGGGAAGAUGGUUUUGAUCUUGAAAAACUAAUGAGAAUGAUGUUGUGGCAAAUUCAAGUUGUGGCAAAAAAAGCUUGUUCUGUCUAUUUACAGUGCGGAGUAAACAGUUAUUACAGUGUCAAUGUUCAUGAUUUACAAUGUGGAGUAGUCAUAUUUUUCCUUGAAAUCUAA
rnacentral:rRNA from 1 species